UACGUAGGAGACGAGCGUUGUCCGGAAUUACUGGGCGUAAAGCGCGUGUAGGCGGAUGAGCAAGUCUGCUGUGAAAGCUCCUGGCUUAACCGGGAGUGGUCGGUGGAAACUGCUCGUCUGGAGGACGGUAGAGGUAGGUAGAAUUCCCGGUGUAGUGGUGAAAUGCGUAGAGAUCGGGAGGAAUACCUGUGGCGAAGGCGGCAUCCUGGACCGGUAUUGACGCUGAGGCGCGAAAGCUAGGGGAGCAAACGGG
rnacentral:rRNA from 1 species